CACUCCGCCAUUCUCAAUCUCACUCAAUAGAAAUUUUUACCUUUUUUGUUUGUUUUCCGAAUUAGUUGGUCUGAAAUCUUGUACUGCUGAAGCGGUCGUCUCUUUCUGAUGUGCAACGUUUUCUUCCGGAUCCACUUUUUCGGGUAUAGCCACCAGUCUCACGGAACCGUUGGUAUACUCGUCGAACUGAGAAUCGGCUAAGGUUCAACUGUCGAGUAACGUCAACCUUUCGCAGUCCUUGUCGGCUUCUUCAGGGGUUGUAUCCAUCUUCAGGUAUUGUUUUUUUUGAGUAUGUUGUUCCGGUGUGUUCACUCUAAGGGCUUAGGUAGUGACUGACUCAUUUUUUACCUGGGCAUGACCUUUUAUAACCUUUUAGGGUAGCUAAACUAGUGCUCCUUAAGUGAGCAUUUAUUCCAACAUCUUAUUGAUUGGUCCCGGUUAGAAAUAGUAAUUGGUUUUUUAAUGAUACAGGUAAUUAAUGUAAAGAUAUUGAAGUGCACUUUACGAUGAUAUAUUUUUUUCACACCUGGUAUUUAUGUGCUAGAUUCUAGGAGCGAUUUACUGGAAAAAACAUAAGGGUGCGAUUUUUAUGACGCCGAGUGUAUAUUUCUGACGUUGCUAACACGAACCUUUGCAAGAGCCGUGCUUCGCAGAAUCUACCACCGGAUCGGAAACGCGACCCACUUAGAAGAUCCGGCGAGAAACUCAGUGGGCUGUGUCUGAGGGUUCAUUUACUCGUCGAGCCCUUCGUCGCAAGCGACGGGUUCGACGAGAACGGUGACCGGUGCUUGAGGUACCUAAAAGCACCGUUAGUGGAUCGGGAGGAUCCGAAAUGACGUGUUUGGGGCGACGUCGACUGCUUUCCAUUCUGUCCGCAGGAUCGAGAAUGAGCAGUUGCAGUUUCGCCUGUUGACAUGACAUUUGACCCCAUCUGCGGAUCCAAGAUUUGGACAAUCAACAGACCGGGCGAGAAUGAGACCUAGGUCUAGAAAAAUCUUAUUUUCUCUAAAUCUAAUUGGAAUUGUGUAUAAUUCCAAUUAGAUUUAACAAGAAGAUCUAUUUCUUCAUGUAAUUUCUUAAAGUACACUUGAGAGUUCUAUUGUAAAUAAUAUGGGGUACUCAGAUUCAACUUUUAUUAUCGAAUAAAAAAAAAUUAAAACGCUUGCUGGAUGUAAUAUUAUAUAUUUAUUAAAGAAACUAACGUAUAUGAUAAAAUAAAAUGUCCACAUGUUCCAGUACAUUUUUUGGCAAACAUGCUAGUAAUUAUUUUAUAUGGUGCUUUUUAUGGUUAUUUUAUAUUAUAUAUUGGUAGUGUACAGAGAUGAAAAUACAGUUGUCGACGAGCUGUUGGAGUGCGGUCCGGACUUCUGAAAAAUAAAAUAACGUAUAAAAAUAUGUUUCAUAAAUACUUAACAUAGGCCGCCCGGUGGCCGAGGUGCUUGCCCUGCUACUGCUAUAAUAAGUGUCUAUAAAAAAAUUGAUUUAAGAAAUGAAUGAGAACAAAAUAAAAUAAAAAAAUCAAGUAAGGCGCAUCUAUCUCAAAAUUCUAGUUUUUCUUUGAUUUCGAACUAAGCAAUAAUUAUUGAAUAUAAAUUUAAUGGCUGAAAAA